UGAUCAAGUCAUGGCCAGCCAAACUCAGGCCCCUGACUGCGUGCCCAGCCUGCGCUUUGAUGACCAGCCAGUGGUGUGCUAGACGGAUGGGGAGGUAAUACCUUUUAUGGGACCAGUUUCUACUGGUGAAAGAGCCCCGCUUUCCAGCCACACAGCGCUCAGGACCAUAUAGAUCAAUGGUUGGACUCAAACAAACAAGAUAGUGUGCUUCAGAAACUUACUGGAGGUGAUCUAUGAGCCGGAAUAUGAACACAUCAACACUGACCAAAAUGAAGGCACAGUUAUAACAUACAGGAGACAUGCAGAAUCAAUGGUGGAAUGCGAAAGUAGAUGACAUCCAGGGCUAUGAUGACUGUCAUGAGACCUAAGACUUCUAUGCUGCAUUGAAAGUUGUAUAUGGUUCUACACAUACCACUACAGUGCCUUUGAAGAGUGUGGACAGCCUAACAAUAGUCACUGACAAAGGAGAAAUCCUUCAGAGGUGGCGACAGCAUUUCAGUGAUCUUUUUCCCAUACCGACCAACAUCACAAACGAGGCACUAGAUGAAGUCAAUGCUGCAAUCAGUGCCAUGAAGAACUGCAG